CCGGAAUUUGCGACAGGUCCGGCGCGCCGUCCGGCCGCGAGUUCCCGGACAGCACCAUGAACACCCGUUUCCAGUUGGUGCAAGCCACCUGCAGCGGGACAAACACGUCGACGCUCCCCAGGGCACCACGAUUCGUGCACUUUGGAACCACUGCAAUAUAUAUAUACGAAAUAACCUUAACACCUGGCUCAAUUAUACAUAAACAACUAUCAAUAAAUUCCACGUUUUAAAUAAAUAAACAUUACGACAAAAUGUUCUGGCAUACACACGACUUUCAGUGCUUUUCAAAUAAACAAACAAAUAACAAUAAUGGUAUUAAUAAUAACAUAUUUUAUAUUUUACAUACUUUAUUACCUUUAGGUACCUACAGUAAAACGUUUAGCCUUAUAAUAUUAUUUAAAUAUUAUAUACAAUAAAUAAUAUAAUAUAUAGAUAUUUUGUUAAAAUAGUUUUUCUAUAAGCUAAGUCAAUACGAAUAUGAAAACAUUGAUAUUGUUUUGACUUUGAGUAUGAAAUAUAAUACUUAUUAUUUUACUUAUAAUAGUUUACCUCGUACGUUUUAAUUUCGUGCGCGUAUCUAUAUAGAAACUAUAAUACCUAUACUUAUAUCUCCCUUAAUUGUCAAAUUAAAUUAAAAACUUCAAGAAUCCUAAUUGUAUGGUAUUAAUAUAAUAGUAUGUUGACAAAAUGACAACAAAUAACAAUAUAAAACGUCGCUGUGCUGAAGCAGAAAUGUAUUGUAGCAGGAACUUAAAUUGUGUAUUGUACGGCAUACUUUGUGUAGUACGAAAUGUUAAAUGUGUUUUACGAAACUAAAAAGUGUGAAAUGGCUAACUGUAUUUUUUAUAAUUUUUUACUUCAUUUAUUUUUGAUUGAUUUAUGUAUUGGAAUUAAAUUAAUACAUUUUGACAUAUUUUGUAAAAAAGUCUUUUUAUUUAUGCGUAUUCAGAAGUAUUUAAUCAUAUUUAAAUAUAAGUAUAUAGGUACUUGAACAAUAAUAUUUAGUUUAUAAUUAUUUAUAUUUAAUAUUAUAUUAUUUAAAACACGUAUUUAACUACGGGUUUACCCAAAUAUCGU